rnacentral:rRNA from 1 species
CACAAACUGUCGAACAACGAUAACCGGGUGUAUCGUCCAAAAGCGUGUGCGCCGGAGAGAUGAAAGUAGAGGACGUCGGGGAGCAGGGGAGGGACGAAGAGGCGGCGGCGGCGGCGGUGGUGGGAGGUUUAGGUAGCGUGCUGACGUUCUCUCGAUCGGGCGGGCACGACCGCUGCGCGGAGGCGGAGGACCAGAAGAGAUAGAGUCGUGACCUAGGCAGGGGCGGGGGCAAACCGCAGGGCCAACUACCGCGACUCCUCCUCCGCCUCGCCAAGACAGCAACCCAACUCGCCGCCGACCUUGCCCAACCGGUGUCUCUACCGGCAGGCGUCACAAGAAGAGUCCGUCUCUUCUCCUCCCCUCGCACUCUACUUCUCCCCUGCCUUUCCCUCUGUUGCUCGGGUACCUCUUCGCGGUGGCCCUCGUCUAGACCGGCAGUCGCCAUUCCGCCGCGGGGUGAGAUCGGUAGAAGGAAGAGGGCGAUACGUAUACAACAAACAAACGGUUAAAUAACCCGUCUAAAAGUUGACCUUCUGUGUUUCCUCCACCGCAUUACCCGUACCUCUAGGACCACAACCUUCUUCUUCUACUCGUCGGUUUAUGAAGAUCCUUACUACUUUGAGCACGGCGGCUCUCCGGUGGAGUUCCACCACCACCUCGACGAGGCCGUGGAACUGCGGGUCCCGCAGCCACUUCUUGUCCAGCCCCAUGUUACGGGACAUGCAGCACCGGUCUCUUCCUGUAGUGUAAUACAUCCUGUGCGCACUCUCCACACGGGCACAAAGUAACAACGACUACAUUAUCGAAAGCUCAGUGUACGGACAGUGGCAGCCUUUCACGUUCUUCUUUAGGGGCUCCUUCUAGGUGUUUCGGCUCUCCCUCUUCCUACUCGCACUGGAUAAGUUAAUAGAAAAGCCACUUGAACCGCUUUAUCGACAUACACACAACCUCAGAUAACGAAGAAUAUAACGUGGCACACACAGCGCCCCAGCUCCUUUUCCAGCCGCGGCUGCAGCUGUACGUGUGUAACUGCGUUAGAACUCGGCUGGGUGUGAGCGGGUAGGGGCCAGCAACAAGCAGCUACCGUCCGGCUCGAGGCGGAGGUGCGGGACGCCUCAGCCGGGCUACACAACCCUAACCUGGAACUACCACAGACGGGGGCUGUCCUGGAGUUGCCGCUGGACGUCAAAAAGCAUCCCACUUUUAAUUAAUUGUCAACCAUACCUCUUUCCCUCUUCUCUCUCCGGUGUCUGGCCACACGACUACUCGGGGGUAGUAUCCCAUGAUGUUUGUAAAACCAAUCGACGUUCCUACUUCUGUUACCCCUUUCUUACGUUUCUAUAAGUCACUUCGGCGUCUAAAUCGAAAACCUCUUGAUACCUGUUCGGUACAUGUUCAUGUAUCCGACGACGCAUAUGUCUUUCUUGCUUACUUUGCCCGAACGUCUAAGUCAAAAGUAAACGUGCAGUAGUUUCGAUUACGAAGGACAAUUUUGUUGCGGGGGACGUUGUUCAGGUAAAGCUCCGGCCGGUGUCCGUGCUGUAGCUCCCGUAGGUAUUGUUAGCGCCUAGGAAGCUGUAGACCCACCUGGCGACGAGGCAGCAGCUGAUGCUGCUGCCCGAGUAGCUGUAGCGAACAGAGGUCAUAAAAGUCAAAUUGAUAUGACUUCUCUUAGACGACCUGAUUUAACUAGGUUUGUUACGAUGUGAGUAACAGUCUGAACGUCUGCUGGUAGACGAGCGGUUUACAGCUUAGUACGAUCCUUGACUGUUCUCCCGGUGAUAUUGGUGCUUGACCAGACUCAAAAAAGUGGCGCGGUUGUAAGCGUUUACUCUGUAGAUACGUAAAGUAAAGUCCUAGUGAAGUUUCGAGACGGAACAACAGUGGCACGUGGUGGAGAUCUACGUGGUAGCUUCUGCGACGUCGGGAACACAGUUAUAUUAGAUCAGGGAGGCAGAGUAUUACAUUCUGCAAAAAACUGUGGUAAACACAGUCUUUUGCAGAAUGUAAUACCUUGUCUCCCUCAUUAUAUUACAUGGUGAUUCAUGAGGAUUAAUACGAUAUAGGACACUAUUGAAUACCAAACGAAAACCCGGGAGAAUAGUGUACGAAAAGUUCUGCGAUUUGGAUACAACAACGAAUACAAUUCACGUGAUAACAGUCAAUCUACAAAGUACAAGUCUAGGUAUUAUCCG